UACGAGGGGGGCGAGCGUUGUUCGGAAUUAUUGGGCGUAAAGGGUGCGUAGGCGGUUUGGUAAGUCUCGUGUGAAAUCUACAGGCUCAACUUGUAGUCUGCACGAGAAACUGCCGGGCUUGAGUGUGGGAGAGGUGAGUGGAAUUCCUGGUGUAGCGGUGAAAUGCGCAGAUAUCAGGAGGAACACCGGUGGCGAAGGCGGGUCUCUGGGCCUGUACUGACGCUGAGGAGCGAAAGCGUGGGGAGCGAACAGG
rnacentral:rRNA from 1 species